rnacentral:rRNA from 1 species
GUCCUUUUGUUUUAUAUUUAAGGUUUAACCUGCCCACUGAAUAAUUUAAAUGGCCGCAGUAUUUUAACUGUGCAAAGGUAGCAUAAUCAUUAGUUUUUUAAUUAAAAGCUUGUAUGAAAGGUUGGACGAGGUAAAAACUGUCUCUAUUUAAUUUAUUAUAAAAUUUAAUUUUUAAGUUAAAAAGCUUAAAUUUUUUUAAAAGACGAGAAGACCCUAUAGAUCUUUAUAUUUAUUAUUUUAUUUUUAAUUAAGAUUUAUUUAAAUUUUAUUAUAUUAAAUAUUUUAUUGGGGUAAUAAGAAGAUUAAAAAAAUUCUUUUUUAUAUUAUUCAUUGAUUAAUGUUUUAAUGAUCCAAUUUUAUUGAUUAUAAGAUUAAGUUACCUUAGGGAUAACAGCGUAAUUUUUUUAGAGAGUUCAUAUCGAUAAAAAAGUUUGCGACCUCGAUGUUGGAUUAAAGAUUAAUUUAGGUGUAGAUGUUUAAAUUUUUGGUCUGUUCGACCAUUGAAUCUUUACAUGAUCUGAGUUCAGACCGGUGUAAGCCAGGUCGGUUUCUAUCUUUAAUAAUUUAAUAUAUUUUAGUACGAAAGGACCAAAUAUAUAAUAUAUAAAUAUUUAAUUGUUUUGAAUAUUAUUAAUUAUUUUGGCAGAUUAGUGCAAUGAAUUUAGAAUUCAUAUAUGUAAAUUUUUACAAGUAAUACUUGUUUUAUAUAGAUAUAAUAUUUUCUUUUAUUUGUAUAUUAUUAUUAAUUAUUUGUGUAUUA